UUUUAAUCUUAAACAGAUGGGUGUUAUUUAAAUAUUGUCUUUUUGUGUGGCUGUAGAUGCUUGGAAUGUAUUUAUGUUACCUUAUUAUUUUGUUCCUUAGGCUCAAUCUGAAGAGGACUUAGAAGAAUACCCCUGGUGGCAGUCAUUAAAAUACCUUAUUUCCAUUCAGUAUCAACCUAGUGGUGCAGGCUGGAACAGAAUGGACAGAGAUCUAAGGUCGUGCAUCAUUAAUGACUAGUGUUUCAUACUGUAGUCUCUGAAGAUGUUUGCUAGGUUGUACUAAACUAGAGAUGUAAGGAGGACUUGAAUGGACAGUAACCAAGGGAUUUGUAUCAUCGGCAAUCGAUGUUUACUCCUUUUUUACUUUAGUGUUUGUAUUUUUUGUGGUAUUGAUCUGGAGCUUCAUUGGUUAGUGAUAUGCUUUGUUAAACAAUAAACAUUCACACCACCCCUAAGGUCAUCUGGAUUUUUAAGUAAAUAUUCACACCAACCCCUAAGGUCAACUGGAUUUUUAAGUAAAUAUUCACACCAUCCUUAAUGCCAUCUGGAUUUUUAAAUAGACAUUCACACCACCCACUAAGGUCAUCUGGAUUUUUAAAUAAACAUUCACACCAACCGCUAAGUUCAUCUGGAUUUUUAAGUAAACAUUCACACCACCCCCUAAAGUCAUCUGGAUUUUUAAAUAAACAUUCACACCACUCCCUAAGAUCAUCUGGAUUUUUAAAUAAACAUUCACACAACCCCCUAAGGUCAUCUGGAUUUUUGAAUAAAUAUUCACACCAUCCUUAAUGUCAUCCAGAUUUUUAGAUAAAUAUUCACUCCCAUCCUCAAUGUCAUCCAGAUUUUUAUAUAAAUAUUCACACCAACUCCUAAGAUCAUUUGGAUCACCAAAUAAACAUUCACACCACACUCUACAUUUAUCUAUAUUUCU